rnacentral:lncRNA from 1 species
ACUGAGUCUCCUCUGGAGCUGUCUCUUCAUUUCUCUCCUGUUUUACAGAGUCUCAGACUACCUUCAUUGAGUCACAGCACAGAAGCAAAGGGGAUUAUUCUUCUACUGGAAACACAGUUUGUCCGGUUGAGUGUUUUGUUUCAACAGUAAAAGUGCAGUUCAUGUCUGAUCACUGUCUGUUACUGUUGUGUUGCUCUCCUCUGAAGCUUUCUCCAGCACAGAGGGAGGUUCCUCUGUUUCAGACUGUUCCAUUUAUCCUCCUCUUCCUAACCUCUUUCUAAAAGGCUGUGCCUCAUCUAUACCUCAUGAGCACCUCUUUUCUAUACGGUAUGACACAAUCAACCUCAUUUUACUUUGAUUUCUGGGCUUCUUAUGUUCUUAUGCUUGCCAUAAACAGGGUGAUACCUACUCUUCUGCUGUACUGUUCCCUUUAAUGUUAACUGUAUGGACUGGGUGAUGGGUAAUGAAAUGAAUCCUGAUUCACUUCUUGAAAAGAAUUGUUUCUUCUACAUCUGUUCCUCAAAAGAUUUUAGCAACUUAACUCCUGUUGAGCAAUAGAUAGAAUUAAUCAGAUAGUAUAAUCAGAUAAUUGGCACAAUUGGCAAAACAAUGAAAAAAAAAAAAAACAGGAAACCAAAUAAAAUUGACAUAAUUCUUGAUAGAAACCCA